rnacentral:rRNA from 1 species
UACGUAGGGGGCAAGCGUUGUCCGGAAUCAUUGGGCGUAAAGCGCGUGUAGGCGGCUCGGUAAGUCCGCUCUGAAAGUCCAGGGCUCAACCCUGGGAUGCGGGUGGAUACUGCCGGGCUCGAGUCCGGAAGAGGCGAGUGGAAUUCCCAGUGUAGCGGUGAAAUGCGUAGAUAUUGGGAGGAACACCGGUGGCGAAGGCGGCCCCCUGGACCGGUACUGACGCUGAUGCGCGAAAGCGUGGGUAGCAAACGGG